UUAAUGAUGUAAUUGAGGCGAUGGACUGCUAAUUCAUUGUGCUCUGCACGCGUGGGUUCGAAUCCCAUCCUCAUCGAG